UACGUAGGGGGCAAGCGUUGUCCGGAAUUAUUGGGCGUAAAGAGCGUGUAGGCGGUCCGGUAAGUCAGCUGUGAAAGUCAAGGGCUCAACCCUUGAAUGCCGGUUGAUACUGUCGGGCUAGAGUCCGGAAGAGGCGAGUGGAAUUCCCGGUGUAGCGGUGAAAUGCGCAGAUAUCGGGAGGAACACCAAUGGCGAAGGCAGCUCGCUGGGACGGUACUGACGCUGAGACGCGAAAGCGUGGGAGCAACAGG
rnacentral:rRNA from 1 species